GACGAACGCUGGCGGCGUGCUUAACACAUGCAAGUCGAACGGAAAGGCCCUGCUUUUGUGGGGUGCUCGAGUGGCGAACGGGUGAGUAACACGUGAGUAACCUGCCCUUGACUUUGGGAUAACUUCAGGAAGCUGGGGCUAAUACCGGAUAGGAGCUCCUGCUGCAUGGUGGGGGUUGGAAAGUUUCGGCGGUUGGGGAUGGACUCGCGGCUUAUCAGCUUGUUGGUGGGGUAGUGGCUUACCAAGGCUUUGACGGGUAGCCGGCCUGGGAGGGUGACCGGCCACAUUGGGACUGAGGUACGGCCCAGACUCCUACGGGAGGCAGCAGUGGGGAAUAUUGCACAAUGGGCGGAAGCCUGAUGCAGCAACGCCGCGUGCGGGAUGACGGCCUUCGGGUUGUAAACCGCUUUCGCCUGUGACGAAGCGUGAGUGACGGUAAUGGGUAAAGAAGCACCGGCUAACUACGUG
rnacentral:rRNA from 1 species